UACGGAGGGUGCGAGCGUUGUCCGGAAUCACUGGGCGUAAAGGGCGCGUAGGCGGCAUGCCAAGCGUGUGGUGAAAGCCCGGGCUCAACCCCGGGUCGGCCGUGCGGACUGGCAUGCUCGAGCACUGUAGGGGCGGGUGGAAUUCCGGGUGUAGCGGUGGGAAUGCGUAGAGAUCCGGAAGAACACCGGUGGCGAAGGCGGCCCGCUGGGCAGGAAGGAAGCGUAAGCUUCCGGCUGACGCUGAGGCGCGACAGCGUGGGGAGCAAACAGG
rnacentral:rRNA from 1 species